GUAGCUCAGUCGGUACGAGCGUCCGCCUGAAAAGCGGAAGGUCGGCGGUUCGACCCCGCCC
rnacentral:tRNA from 1 species